UCUGCCUUUCCCUGCAGGAGCCUCCAGGUGUUCAGGCUCUGCUCCUACAAUGACACCCCACUGUCAUGCCUUUGCAAACUCUUUCUCCUUUCUGAAAACUUCAAUAUUAGCUGCUCAUUUGCUUAAUUACCCCUGUUGCUGAUACUCACAAAAAGACUGAAGAUGUAACAGAUGGUGCCUGGGGAUGAAUGGAUGUUACCGAGGCAAAGCUGUCAACAUACCUAUCUCCAGCCCAUUUUAACGUGCACAUUAUGUCCCCCUGUGGACUGUUGGCAAGGAGGCUGCCAGAAGAAGGUGUGGCCCAGAUUAAAGGUAUGUCUUCUCGCCUCAAUAUCUGGACAGAGGUGUGUCUUCCUACCUCAAAGAUCCAGACUGGAUGUGGAUUCACCCACUUCAAACCAAGCAGAGUAUCUCUCACAGCUGUGCCCUCCAUUUCCGGAUUGUAGUUCAUUCCAGGUGUUCGGUCCUUGAACCUUUCUCUUCCUGGAUGAGGAGGCUGUUUAGCGGAGUCCUCUCGGUGGGGGGAACCGUGCAGAGAGAGGCUGCUACAAAAUGGCUUGUAUUAGCUGAACUUGAGAAAUCAGAAAGAACUGCUGCUUCCAUCGGGAAAUUGUGCUGCUCGUAUUAGAUAAUGCCAUUCCAAUUGGCCGCGAUCUUUCAUGAAUUGCAUACAGCUUUAACUUCUGUUUCUGUUGUAAACUCAAGAAAAUGGAGAUGGGACAAUUACCACUUCUAAUUUGGAAUCAAAGACAGGGCGCUCCUAAACUGAGAACGGCGUUCCAGCCCUUCCCCACACCCCGGUUUUUAGAGGCAUAGUUUUACUAAGUAAUUUAGGCUGGCAUUUAAACUCCCAAAGCUCCUGAUUUCACCUCCAGAGUGAGAGAGCUAACAUUACAGAUGUGUAUCACCACUUCUGGCUCUGACUCUGUCUUUAUUUGUCCAAUCUCCAUGCACCUUAAAAUGUGUUAAUUGUCUGUGUAUUCCAUCUGCUCUUUCUUUCUACUUGCCUGUAUUAUCUGGGGGUAGUCAUGAAUUACAAAUUAACCUCCCAAACCACUGUUCACUUUCAGCUAAUAGGUUUUUGAUUCAUAGACUGAGUAUUUAGAACUCUUACUGAAAUGGAAAGCUCACAAGAUAAUUUUCAGCAUGGAAGGGUGCUAGUGAGUAGGCAGCCAAAAUAUGAUUCAUUAUGUAUGGAUUAUGAUAGGCUAUGUAGCAUCUACAGUACAGAACCCCAAAUAAAUGAAUUUGUGAAAAUUAAAUUUAAGGCGGAGACAGUUGUCUUUCCUAUUCUGUUUUGAAGUCUUAGAAUGUGAUGAAUGUUGUGCUGGUUUACUUUCUACCCAGACGAAGUAGAAAAGAGUAGGCCUUCCUCUUGUUUGGUGUCUGAGAUGUAGGGUAUUUUUUAUAUUACCAAAAGCAUCUGUGAUAAGUAGUUGUGCCUGGGAAGGGAGAAUGAGAGUCUGAGGUGAGUCCAGGACCGUCAUGAAACAGCUUGUUCCCUGGAGUUGUGCAGUGCUAACUUGUACAAGUGUAUCUUUCAAGUCCGGGUAAAGCUAAAGCUUAGUGGUGAGAAUCUGACUUCAAGCAGAAUGGAAUCUGGGUCUCCUUGGGAUGGCUAGCUCUCAGAGUCUCCUGUACUGAGUACUUCAGUACAGCCUACAUCUUCUAGCCAGCAAUGUGCAAGACUGACUUGCACUAGCUCCUGCGGAGAUGAAAGAUGUAGGUAAACAUCCCUGGGGCAAAAUGCAUUCCUACCUUGAUGCAGCUAAAAAAUAAUUUGCUCUGGGCAGCACCAGGAGCAGUAGAUACAUGACCAGAAAGUCUGCUUUCCACUCUCUAAACCAUAAAGAAAUAUCAGAGAAGUGAAAAGAAGCCUGCCCACACACAUACCACUCCACACUCUAACCUAGGAGGACUUGCUGUACAGUCAAUCCCACACCGUGGUAGUUAGAGCAUCAUCUGUUUGUGUUCUAGCUUAAAACAUGCAGGGGUGAAGGAAACUGUGUCCCUAGCCAUAAGCUUUCCACAAGGCCCCUUCCCCUGCACCUGUCUUCCUGCAGAAAAAGCUCUUGCUUGCACCCCUUCAGGAAAAUCAUUUGUAUUCCCUGCCUGUGUCUGCUGGCAGCUCCCUGUCACUCAUCCUCCCUCCGAGACAACCACCUACCAGCACAUCCACAGAAUCACAAGCAUCAGCCACAUCAUUUACCUCCCUGAUGAGAAAUGUUCUUGUCAUUUGUUGCUGGGUCCUAAAAAUAGAAAACAGAAAAUGAAGGCAGGAGCAGAUGAGAAAGAAGGUUUUGACUGUUACAAUUAGCUGGGUUCCUGCUAAUGGAGGUUUUAUGGAGUUCGUCUUUUUCUUAUCUUUUUUGACAUCUCUGCAAGAUUGACUCCUGCUGCUGCAGAAUAUAAUUAUGGAACUAGCCUCAGUGAUACAGGAUAUUGAUUUGCCUUCUCCGAGUAGUAAAUUCUUACUGACAAGAAUUAUCUUCUGUCAAUUUCUU